rnacentral:rRNA from 1 species
UACAGAGGGUGCAAGCGUUAAUCGGAAUUACUGGGCGUAAAGCGCGCGUAGGUGGUUUGUUAAGUUGAAUGUGAAAUCCCCGGGCUCAACCUGGGAACUGCAUGCAAAACUGGCAAGCUAGAGUAUGGUAGAGGGUGGUGGAAUUUCCUGUGUAGCGGUGAAAUGCGUAGAUAAUAGGAAGGAACACCAGUGGCGAAGGCGACCACCUGGACUGAUACUGACCACUGAGGUGCGAAAGCGUGGGGAGCAAACAGG